AUGGGUUCAUCUGAGGACACUGGAGAAGUAGUGGGGUUAUCUGAGGACACAGACUCAGAUCCAGAAGAGUUAAUGGGGUCAUGUGAGGUCACUGAAGAAGUAAUGGGGUCAUCUGAGGUAACAGGUCCAGACCCAGGGCAGGGAAUGAGGUCAUCUGAGGACACUGGAGAAGUAGUGGGGUUAUCUGAGGACACAGACUCAGAUCCAGAAGAGCUAAUAGGGUCAUGUGAGGUCACUGAAGAAGUAAUGGGGUCAUCUGAGGUAACAGGCCCAGACCCAGGGCAGGGAAUGGGGUCAUCUGAGGACACUGGACAAGUAAUGGGGUUAUCUGAGGUCACAGACUCAGAUCCAGAAGAGCAAAUGGGGUCAUGUGAGGUCACUGAAGAAGUAAUGGGGUCAUCUGAGGUAACAGGUCCAGACCCAGGGCAGGGAAUGGGGUCAUCUG